GACUAUAGCCGACGAAAAUAUAAUUUCGUCGGCUAAAGUUCUUUAUAUUCGCAGAUCUGGACAGCAGCUCAUCUGAGAAAAGAAAACGGGAGAAAAAAAAACGGGAGAAAAAAGUUUUGGGUGUUGUUGAAAUCUGUCCAUUAUUAAGAAGUGGAGCUAUAUAUAGGUACGUACAUGUGUAUAUAUGUUGAUUUUGAGUUUUAUUUGAGUUAUUGAUCGAUUUUGAGUGUGAUUAAAUUGAUAGAUUUUGAGUAUAUGUUUGAUGUAUAUAUAUAUAUAUGUGUGUUGAUCGAUUUGGUUGAUGAUUUGAUAAUAUAUAUGAAGUUGUUGUUAAUUAUAAGUAGCUAAUAGAUAU
rnacentral:lncRNA from 1 species